UUUGACAUAGUAAUCAUUCACAAGUUUUAAUGAUAAAACACAUAUACUUUCUAAUUAAUGUCAACACUUUGCAAAAAAAGACCAAAACAUAUAUAAAUUUACGUUUAAUCUCUUUUGAAAUAAUUUUCAAAUAAAACAAUAAAAAAUUGAUAAGUCAAACUCGGAUUUGACCUCGAGUACUCGGAGACAAACCGAGUUUUGACCGAUUUUUUAAUAAAUCGGUUUUGAACCCG
rnacentral:lncRNA from 1 species